CGCGGAGUAGAGCAGUCUGGUAGCUCGUCGGGCUCAUAACCCUAAGGUCGAGGGUUCAAAUCCCUCCUCCGCAACCA
rnacentral:tRNA from 4 species